rnacentral:rRNA from 1 species
GUGGGGAAUAUUGGACAAUGGGGGCAACCCUGAUCCAGCCAUGCCGCGUGGGUGAUGAAGGCCUUAGGGUUGUAAAGCCCUUUCGGCGGGGAAGAUAAUGACGGUACCCGCAGAAGAAGCCCCGGCUAACUUCGUGCCAGCAGCCGCGGUAAUACGAAGGGGGCUAGCGUUGCUCGGAAUCACUGGGCGUAAAGCGCACGUAGGCGGGUUCUUAAGUCGGAGGUGAAAUCCUGGAGCUUAACUCCAGAACUGCCCCCGAUACUGAGGAUCUCGAGUUCGGGAGAGGUGAGUGGAACUGCGAGUGUAGAGGUGAAAUUCGUAGAUAUUCGCAAGAACACCAGUGGCGAAGGCGGCUCACUGGCCCGAUACUGACGCUGAGGUGCGAAAGCGUGGGGAGCAAACAGGAUUAGAUACCCCUGUAGUCC